AGAAUCAACGCUGGCGGCGUGCCUCAGACAUGCAAGUCGAACGCGAAAAUUUCCUUCGGGGAAUGAGUAGAGUGGCGCACGGGUGAGUAACACGUAGGUAAUCUACCUUUGGAUGGGGAAUAACAACCGGAAACGGUUGCUAAUACCGCAUAAUGCAGCGGCACCUAAUGGUGACAGUUGUUAAAGCGGGGGAUCGAAAGACCUCGCGUCUGAAGAGGAGCCUGCGGCGGAUUAGCUAGUUGGUAAGGUAAUGGCUUACCAAGGCUACGAUCC
rnacentral:rRNA from 1 species